rnacentral:rRNA from 1 species
AUUGAACGCUGGCGGCAGGCUUAACACAUGCAAGUCGAGCGGGGGAAGGUAGCUUGCUACUGGACCUAGCGGCGGACGGGUGAGUAAUGCUUAGGAAUCUGCCUAUUAGUGGGGGACAACAUCUCGAAAGGGAUGCUGAUACCGCAUACGUCCUACGGGAGAAAGCAGGGGAUCUUCGGACCUUGCGCUAAUAGAUGAGCCUAAGUCGGGUUAGCUAGUUGGUGGGGUAAAGGCCUACCAAGGCGACGAUCUGUAGCGGGUCUGAGAGGAUGAUCCGCCACACUGGGACUGAGACACGGCCCAGACUCCUACGGGAGGCAGCAGUGGGGAAUAUUGGACAAUGGGGGGAACCCUGAUCCAGCCAUGCCGCGUGUGUGAGGAAGGCCUUAUGGUUGUAAAGCACUUUAAGCGAGGAGGAGGCUACUUUAGUUAAUACCUAGAGAUAGCGGACGUUACUCGCAGAAUAAGCACCGGCUAACUCUGUGCCAGCCGCCGCCGUAA